rnacentral:rRNA from 1 species
AUUGAACGCUGGCGGCAUGCUUUACACAUGCAAGUCGAACGGUAACAGGCCUUCGGGUGCUGACGAGUGGCGAACGGGUGCGUAAUGCAUCGGAACGUACCCAGAGGUGGGGGAUAACGCAGCGAAAGCUGUGCUAAUACCGCAUGUGAUCUGAGGAUGAAAGCGGGGGACCGAGCAGCAAUGUUUGGCCUCGCGCCUUUGGAGCGGCCGAUGUCGGAUUAGCUAGUUGGUGGGGUAAAGGCCUACCAAGGCGACGAUCCGUAGCUGGUCUGAGAGGACGACCAGCCACACUGGGACUGAGACAAGGCCCAGACUCCUACGGGAGGCAGCAGUGGGGAAUUUUGGACAAUGGGCGCAAGCCUGAUCCAGCAAUGCCGCGUGCGGGAAGAAGGCCUUCGGGUUGUAAACCGCUUUUGGCAGGAACGAAACGGUGUCCGCUAAUACCGGGCGCUAAUGACGGUACCUGCAGAAUAAGCACCGGCUAACUACGUG